AUAACAUUCGGACCUUCGGUCUACUGAGAAAUUUCACCAGCUCGAUGGAAGAUCUUCCCUUUGCCUC
rnacentral:pre_miRNA from 1 species